rnacentral:rRNA from 1 species
CCUACGGGAGGCAGCAGUAAGGAAUAUUGGUCAAUGGAGGCAACUCUGAACCAGCCAUGCCGCGUGCAGGAUGACGGCCCUAUGGGUUGUAAACUGCUUUUGUACCAGAGAAAACCUACUCACGUGUGAGUAGCUGAUAGUAUGGUAAGAAUAAGCAUCGGCUAACUUCGUGCCAGCAGCCGCGGUAAGACGAAGGAUGCAAGCGUUAUCCGGAUUCAUUGGGUUUAAAGGGUGCGUAGGCGGACUUGUAAGUCAGUGGUGAAAUCUCUUCGCUUAACGAAGAAACUGCCAUUGAUACUGCAGGUCUAGAGUAUAGAUGACGUUGGCGGAAUAUGACAUGUAGUGGUGAAAUACUUAGAUAUGUCAUAGAACACCGAUUGCGAAGGCAGCUAACGAAACUAUAACUGACGCUGAGGCACGAAAGUGCGGGGAUCAAACAGGAUUAGAUACCCUGGUAGUCCGCACCGUAAACGAUGAUUACUCGUUGUUGGCGAUAUGACAGUCAGCGACCGACGACGAACGACGAGUAAGUAACGUACCGUACCGUACGGGUACGGUACGGACCGGACCGACGGUACGUAAACGUUAAACGUUAAGUAAGUUAGUUACGGACGUUAGGAGGACGACGACGACGGACGACGACGAGGGAGGAGG